UGUUAUAAGCUUGAAGAUUGAUGUCGAA
rnacentral:piRNA from 1 species